GAGAGGCGGCGUGUCAAUAUCCCACUCUCUCAUUAUCUCUUUGGAUUGCACAUCCACACUGUCAGAUAAACAGAGUGGAAAAUUAAGAUUAAAAAUAUGGUAAUUUCAUUUGAGCGCAGGCAAGCGCUCGCUCCUGCUGCCCCAUUAUGCUAUUGAUUACUCUCAAUUCAAUCUCUCCUUUCAAUGUAAACUUUAAUCUAUUCGCCACCCAACAAGCCUCACUCCCCCGGGGCUAUUUUAGAUAAGGGGGCGUUUGACACCAGUGCAGGUGAAGAACUCUCCCCGCUGUGCUCCAUUUGGUGCCGUCCUUCACCUCGGCCACUGACCGGACGGUCAUCGUCCCGCAUGGCUCCUCACGGACCGCCAACAAAUGCUGCCACAAAUGGAUCUAAUUGGCACCUCUGCAUGCCCCGUCCAGAGGAGGGCAGAGAUCAGGUGGGCAGACGCGGGACGGAGAGAAACAAGUGCAGAGUUUUGAUAUGCACACAUUUUAUUUUUUAAAGUUGCAUUUAAUU
ensembl:lncRNA